rnacentral:rRNA from 1 species
UAACACAUGCAAGUCGAACGGAGUUAUGCAGAGGAAGUUUCGGAUGGAAUCGGCGUAACUUAGUGGCGGACGGGUGAGUAACGCGUGGGAAACCUGCCCUGUACCGGGGGAUAACACUUAGAAAUAGGUGCUAAUACCGCAUAAGCGCACAGCUUCACAUGAAGCAGUGUGAAAAACUCCGGUGGUACAGGAUGGUCCCGCGUCUGAUUAGCCAGUUGGCAGGGUAACGGCCUACCAAAGCGACGAUCAGUAGCCGGCCUGAGAGGGUGAACGGCCACAUUGGGACUGAGACACGGCCCAAACUCCUACGGGAGGCAGCAGUGGGGAAUAUUGCACAAUGGGGGAAACCCUGAUGCAGCGACGCCGCGUGAGUGAAGAAGUAUUUCGGUAUGUAAAGCUCUAUCAGCAGGGAAGAAAAUGACGGUACCUGACUAAGAAGCCCCGGCUAACUACGUGCCAGCAGCCGCGGUAAUACGUAGGGGGCAAGCGUUAUCCGGAUUUACUG